rnacentral:rRNA from 1 species
UACGUAGGAUGCAAGCGUUGUCCGGAAUUAUUGGGCGUAAAGAGCUCGUAGGCGGUUUGUCGCGUCUGCUGUGAAAACUGGGGGCUCAACCCCCCAGCCUGCAGUGGGUACGGGCAGACUAGAGUGCGGUAGGGGAGAUUGGAAUUCCUGGUGUAGCGGUGGAAUGCGCAGAUAUCAGGAGGAACACCGAUGGCGAAGGCAGAUCUCUGGGCCGUAACUGACGCUGAGGAGCGAAAGCAUGGGGAGCGAACAGG